GCAGUGCAGCGGUGCGGCUGCUUCUGGCAACGACGCUCCUGCAGCAUUACGCCAGACAACUAUCGCCACCACCAACUUUGAUUGUUUGUUUGUUUGUUUUUUCUGACAUUCCAUAUUUUAAUAUCCACGACCGUUCACCGCCGUCACACAGCAAUCCGGCCCCCACGCCGUUAAUUCUGUUGGCCGUUUUAUUAUUCGUUAUCGGUUCUUCUUUUUUUUCGGUUGAUAAAUGCGGAAUACGUUGGACGCUCUCAUCGUCGUAUCAGAGUCUUGCGAAUGAAUGGGACUUGCUACAGUAUAGCCCAUAAGGCACAUAGGAAACGGUUUGAUGCAUCGUCACCAGCUCAGUUGUAUCGAUUGCAGCGGAUUCGACUUGAUUUGACAUGCAAAAGAGGCCGCUGGGGAGCCAACGAUCCAGACGGGCGAAACAAAGGCAAUAAGAAGAAAAGGAAGGAAAGAAGGAAAAAAGAAGCCGCCCAAUCCCGCGCGUUUGCAUGUUGAUGGGGGCGGCGUGAAUGGGAGAAAACGACGACACCAACGUACGUCAACGUUCCAAGUGAGCCAUCGGCCUCCUCGGCUCCUGCUCGCCCCUUUGCUCGAAUUUUCCCACUCGUGAGAGACAAACUGUCUUUUCCCAACGCGUGACUUGAUCUCUUUUCCCCACUGACGAAAAAUUUCUGGGAAAAACAAACGAAACAAACGUUAUCAAUAAAUCAAAUCAAAUCAAUCAAAGAAAAGGCGCCCGGGCUGAUCCCGCGUUCGAAUUUAUUUCUCUCUCGUCGGCGCAAACAAAAAGCAAAAUUCGACCAAUUAUUAACCGGAGCAACGCGGCAGUGUGUGUAUACGAGUGCUUUGAGCCCAACAUUUGGAACAUAAUUUAGUCAAAUGGAGUUGCUGGAGCACGGCGAGAACAGGCGUGAAAGUUUCGUACUGCGUUCCUCUCUUUGAAUUAAAAAAAUUAAUACAAUUUCAGAAAGAAAAGUAAACGAAUUCGUCUGAUAUAAAAGCGGAAAAUAGUGGCAGUCGUAAUCAUCAUCAUCAUCGCACAACUUGGCAAGGCGAUAACAGCGAUCUAACGGUUACUGGAUAGGAGCACGCGCGACGUUUUGCAUGUAUAAUGUUCCAAGAGGCCAACUCCAAGUCUUGCUCGGUCGUCGUUUGUUGAAUUGCUUGCUCCUAGAUAUACUCGACACAGCGCAGUGCCUGCCGCCGAGAUAGAUCCAAAAAAGAAAAAAGAAAAAAGAAAAGAAAAAAAGAGAGCGAGUGAAAGAGAUAGAGAACACAGGGCCAAGAGAGUCGGAGUAGCAGUGGCUGAAAGGAAUAGAGCAACUAUAGCUGCUGGGCUGGCUGCUCCCUUUGCUCUGCAUCUCGCUGCAUCUGACUGCUCAUUUUCGUAGCUCACCCGACUCUUUCCGAUGUUGUUUCUCUCCUGAUCUUUUCGACUUAAUAGUGAAACGCGUGACCGUUCGAAAAGCGGCUAGAGAGCCCAGCAAUUGCCCUCCUUCUUUGCGGUUUACCCGAAACUCAUUGCUUGGAUUGUGUUGGUCAAAGGUGAAAUUGCCCCCUUACGCGCGCUGGCCCCGGCCGCCCACUUGUGAAGUUGCGCUCUUUUUAAUCUGUGUAAACAUUUUUCUUGACGCUCGGAUCCUCCUCGCUCCCGUCACAGACUGAGCGGCGUGACGGUGUUUGCCUUUUUCCUGGAACUGUGGAUUUUUUUUGGGGUGAAAAUUCAGUGGAUGUUAUUUUUCGAUUGGCCGUGUAAGCAAACAGCUAGCGAAGGGGUUGACCGUGGCCAGCGUUCGACGCUGAUCGAAAUUGCAAUUAGUGAUUAUGUAAUCGUGAAGUGCAAUAAGUGUAAGUUGCAAGUCACAGUCACCCCCCCCCCCCCCGCCGAAAGGAUUAAUUAUAGAACGAAGUUUCUGCAUAUUAAACUUAGAUAGUGCCGAGUGAAUAUUAGAAUUGCACAUUAGACAGCAGUCUCAGUGCUGGCAUUGAAUGGCCGGCCAGAAGAAGAGUUCCCAGCUCUUGUCUUCGAGUUGCGGCCCGCUGGGUUGGAUUCCAAACUCCAUCGGAGUCUCAUCAGCACCACCUCCGGCCAACUUCAAUUCAAGAGCUGGCCUGACAGCUGAGACACGACAACAUGUCUACCUAUCUCACUCGAGGUGAUCUUUUCGGACGAAAUGAAUUAUAGUCUAGCUGCUGCUGCCUAGACAGAAAACCGAGUGGCAUAUAUUUGAAUUUCUCCUUCCUUGUAGACCGUUGCAACCUCGUCUCUCGUCAAAGAAUUCGACCAAAAGAAGAAGAUUCCAGCAGCGCCCGUAAAAACCAACCAAAGGGUUCGAAAAUUUGAUUACAUAAUAGCUUCUAAACUUUAAUUUUCUUUGAUGUUUUCUAUGAUAAUUAUUCACAGACAACCAAACCCCUAAUAAAAUCGUUCGGAACGAGCGGUUGGCUCACUCAAGAGUCAAGAGUCAUCAUUAUUAAUUCAUUGGGAAUGGCGGGAUAUUCGAUAUAGGCGAGGAGCAUUACUCAGCAUGACCGGAGUCUUUUGUUCCGUUGUUCGCUGUUUUUUUCUUUUUUCUUUUCUUCCCUAUCAAUAUAUGUACUCCCACCAGCAGCCCAAAAACCAAUCAACAGUUUACGAUGUU